AGAUUGAACGCUGGCGGCAUGCCUUACACAUGCAAGUCGAACGGUAGAGGGAGCAAUCCUUCGAGAGUGGCGAACGGGUGAGUAAUAUAUCGGAACGUGCCCAGUCGUGGGGGAUAACGUAGAGAAAUUUACGCUAAUACCGCAUACGAUCUAAGGAUGAAAGCGGGGGACCUCGCAAGGGGCCUCGCGCGAUUGGAGCGGCUGAUAUCAGAUUAGGUUGUUGGUGAGGUAAAAAGCUCACCAAGCCGACGAUCUGUAGCUGGUUUGAGAGAACGACCAGCCACACUGGGACUGAGACACGGCCCAGACUCCGACGGGAGCAGCAGUGGGAAUUUGGACAAUGGGCGAAAGCCUGAUCCAGCAAUGCCGAGUGCAGGAAGAAGGCCUUGGUGUAAACGUGUACUUUUGAACGG
rnacentral:rRNA from 1 species